rnacentral:tRNA from 1 species
GCCCCUGUGGUGGAAUUGGUAUACACGGCAGGUUGAGGGCCUGUGCCCAUUAGGGCGUCCCCGUUCGAGUCGGGGCAGGGGCACCA